UACGGAGGGUGCGAGCGUUAUCCGGAUUCACUGGGUUUAAAGGGUGCGUAGGCGGGUUAGUAAGUCAGUGGUGAAAUCCCCGAGCUUAACUUGGGAACUGCCGUUGAUACUAUUAGUCUUGAAUAUCGUGGAGGUAAGCGGAAUAUGUCAUGUAGCGGUGAAAUGCUUAGAUAUGACAUAGAACACCAAUUGCGAAGGCAGCUUGCUACACGAUUAUUGACGCUGAGGCACGAAAGCGUGGGGAUCAAACAGG
rnacentral:rRNA from 1 species